ACCCAGGCGCCCCUGGUCGGUACUUUUUUUUUUUUUUUUUUAAAGAAAAUGGGAAAGACUAAAAAAUAUCAGAAGCAUGUAAGAAUAAAUAUUCUCUCAGAAAUCUUUUUCCCCCCAUUUAUGUGUUGUAUGUAUGUAUUGGGUCACAAUGUAAAAUGUAUUUCUUAUCAUGGACUACAUUAAAAAGGAGCUUGAAAGCUGUGGUUUUUAGAAAAAUCCUUGUUGCUCUAGGCAGGUUCCCAUCAGUACUAUGCUUUUUGACUGGGGGGUGCAAAGCUAAAGCCCCUGCUGCCCUCUGAUGCUCUACACUGAGCUAGAGUGGGUAUUUAUCACCCUUGCAGAUUCCACACUGAGCAUGACCCACAAUGCAAAUAAGAUUGGGAAGUGGGUGCUCAGGUUUUUUUUAAUUAAGACAAUUUUUUUUUAAAUUUUAUUUUAUAAGUAAUCUCUAAGCCCAACCGGUCUGGGACAACCGGCAGAUCAAGAGUCACAUGCUCUACCGACUAAGCCAGCCAAGCACCCCAGAUUGCUAUAGAGCACACCUCUGGACCUCCGCCGUCCCCAGAUAGCAGUUUCUACACGGCUAACUCAGAACAGACUAGAGCUAGCGCUUUGGGACACUGGAUGCCUCUCAUGCCCCAAGCGAACAUUCGGGACAGUCGCAUCCUCGAGUUCUCCCAGGGGCGUCUCUAAUUCCCAGGAGGCUGAAUGCCUGCAGUGCUGGACGCGGCCUACCCACCAAGCUGCACAAGCGCGCCCGGUUGGCUCCCAGCUUGGGCUGUGGUUGCUGAGACACAGCCCUGCCCUCAGUAGGCCCUUUGAAGAGAUGCGUAUUCAAGUCCUGCAGCUUCGGGGUUGAUGUGUCGCUCACCCUCAGAGGCCCCAGUUUGGCUGACAUUCAGCCUACCUCUGAGAAUGACCCCUAAAAUCGGCUCUGCCACUAACCAGAAGCAAGGCCGUUUCUAUGGUGAAAGAACCAUCGCCUCACGGAAAAUUGCCUUUGCAAUUUUGCAAAAUUGCAUUUUGCAUUGAUAAUAACUACCAAUGAGAGUUUAAGAUUUUUUUCAGAAGCCCAAAUGUGUGGUGCGUGUGAUGUGUGGUAAGAGUUUCGAAGAUCGAAUGUAUUUGACAUCUCAAUUGCCUUUUGACGAGUGGAGAAUAGGCAUCCAGAAAACUGACCAAAGAAGGAGAAACCAUUUGGCUUCAUUUUCUCAUUUUAAAUUACUUCCUUUGUCAAAUGACUCCCUUAAACUAAUAAGGGAAACCAUCGAAGGCAAUGUAGUUCAUCUUUAUUUGGAAUUUCAGAAAAGCUAAUGUCCCUAAUGUCUUCUGAACUUUUCAAAGGACCUUUUGCUGUGUAGUUUCGUCUUUUUUUUUUUUUUUUAAUUUUUAUUCAUUUUAUGUGUUUUUUUAAGGGAGUGUGUGUGCAAGAUGGGGGGAGGGGCAGAAAUUGAGAGAGAGAGAGAGAGAGACAGAGAGAGAGAGAGAGAGAAUCCCAAGCAAGGUCCUCACACAGUGCAGGGUCCCAGCUUGGGGCUAGAUCUCACUACUGUGAGAUCAUGACCUGAGCUGAAAUCAAGAGUCAGGCGCUCAACCGACUGAGCCACCCACGCGCCCGUGGCCUCAUCUUGUUUAAAGAUGUUAGAGCUGUGUUGAGGUUGAUAUCAACAAUCAGAAAGUAAUAUCAUGGUUCUGGUUGUCAUUAUCCUGUUUAGACACGCUAGAACUAGAUUGCCUGUGUUAAAACUUAAUGGACUAGAGAAGCAUCCAGAAUCUUAAUGAUGGGGGCUUCCACUCUCCAGGCAUCUGCCAGAUGUUUCAAUUUCUAAACUCACAACAUCCGAUAAAUCCAUGAUUUGCCUCACUUAGUGUUCUCAGCCCUGGCUGCACAUUAGAAUAAUCCCAGAAUUAAAAUUGUUUUUUUUGAUAGGGAGGCUCCACCCAUUCUAAUUUAGUAAAGCAGAAUUUCUCAGGGUAGGUCCCCAGACUUCUUUUUUAAGUACCCCCAAAUGAUCUGAAUGUGCAGCCAGGUUGAGAAUCACUAACCCGCACGAUAAUUUCAUCUUUCAGAAAGCAGAGGAAGUGAUGAGGAUUAACACCCUGCUUCUAAUUCUGGCCGACUCAGAGGCCCUGUGUGGAAAAUCAGAAGUGACAGGAAUCCUGGAAGAGGGCCACCUGGCCAUCAGAAAAUUCCAGAGGGAUGUGGUCACUGCCAGACACACACUCGGUCAGAAGACACGAGUGAAAAAAUACCAGCAACCAAACAUGGUGGUGUCAAGCCUAGUUAGGAAUAAAAAAAAAACCACAUGUCUAAAA